AAAGCAGGUCCCUGCUCCAGGAGAAGCUCCGCUGCCAUCCUGUUCUCCAGCCCUCAUGGAGUUAACCGCAAUUAUUGUUAUUAAGGGUGACUCGAUCUGAUGAAGAAGCCCCGGAGGGAGGCGCUUUGGCAGGUGCCGGCGGGCGAUCCUCUUCGAUUAGCGCCGCGCUGCUUUUUGGCCUGAGACGCUCGGAUCGACUGCCGAGGCAAAGAGAGAUGCCAGCAGAGACUGCGACCCAGCAGAGACCCAGCCAGUGGGAAUCCUGUCUGCAGAGCUCCUCGAGUCUGUAAAACUGGGACAGAGAGCACCCUAGUGCCUAUCCUUCUGAGGAAGCUGAGGCCUCAUCCCACGAGCCAGAGCCACCAGCAUGCAGCACAAGUCACGAGAAGAGCAAGGCAAGCACUCCAGGCAAACUACUGCAAACUGCACAAAAGGAGUCAUUUGGAAACUGGGGCAAAAGUUGAAACAGGAUUUAAUUUUAUCUGAAUUGAUUCAUCUGUCCCUAAUUAGUAAUAGCUUCCUAAUGCAUGACGUAAGUAUAUACAGAGGUGUUUUUUUUUUUAAUGAAUAACUUGGCUAGGAUAAAAUAUUGCCAUUCUCAGAUUGUCUCAGAUAGUUCUUUUUAUAUGCCAAUAGAGAUUUGUGCAGUCUAAGAUGAAAAAUACAUGAGAUCCCAUCGUCAUA